UACGUAGGGUGCGAGCGUUGUUCGGAUUCAUUGGGCGUAAAGGGUGCGUAGGCGGCGCGGUAAGUCGGGUGUGAAAUCUUGGAGCUUAACUCCGAAACUGCAUUCGAUACUGCCGUGCUUGAGGACUGGAGAGGAGACUGGAAUUUACGGUGUAGCGGUGAAAUGCGUAGAUAUCGUAAGGAAGACCAGUGGCGAAGGCGGGUCUCUGGACAGUUCCUGACGCUGAGGCACGAAGGUCAGGGGAGCAAACGGGG
rnacentral:rRNA from 1 species